rnacentral:lncRNA from 1 species
GGGAAAGGGAUGGAGAUUUAUUUUUAACCAUGUUUUUGUAUUUUUUAAAAAAGCAUAUAUGUGUAGACCUAUUACAAAAUACAUGUUAGGCCAGAUAUGGUGGCUCACACCUCUAAUCUCAAUGCUUUGAGGUUGAGAUGGGAAGAUUGCUUGAGACCAGAAGUUUGAGAUCAGCGUGGGCAAUACAGCGAGACCUCUAUCUCUACAAAAUAAUUUUAAAAAAUUAGCCAGGCAUGGUGGCAGCUGCUGUCUUCUGAAUCUACCUCUGUCUUUGUGCUGAGGCUGACCUCAGCUAAUGACUAAGCAAGAUGUGGCUGCUAAUGCAGGCUCAUUUCUACAAAACACAUCUGCUGUCACAAAAGACUUUGGCCUGAGGAGUCCCCAUUGGCCUGGUCAGAAUAUUCUAGAAACUGUGCUGCAGCCUGAGACUCUUCCUAUGUAAUCCUCUC